GAUCAUGCCAAAAAGAAAGAAGGGAUAGCCUUAACAUACCUGAGACGGUUCUCUUGACAAUUCCUCUAACAUACGCCAAUCGCGACGAAACCCGUAACUGCGAGAUCAAAAUAGCGAACAAUUCGUAUGAUAUUCUUGGAAAAGGUUGCAUCGUACUCUUUUAGAACCGCAAAAUUUUACGUUGCUAAAGUUCUAAUAAUUCUCGUUGGAGUUUUCUGUGUAGGAAUUGGUUGAAGAAUUACGUUGCUAAUGUAGUGUUUAGAAAUGAAUCAUGUGAAAUCACAUUGUAAUGUUAGAAAUAAAGAAAGUACGUCUGAUUGUUAGAAAUGAAAAUGUUAGGAAUGAAAUUUCUUGUAUUCAUAAUCCUAGAGAUGAAGUUAUUACUUUGCCUCCUACCAAAAGCUCAAGAUUUUAGAAAUGAGGUGUUGUGUAAUUAAAACAUUACAUAACAAGCACCUAAAAGCAAGCACCUAAGCAAUGGUAUAAAAAGUUUAAUAGCACAUUAGUGGGUAAUGAUUUUGUUGUUAAUGCAUUUGAUACUUGUGUUUAUUCCAAGAUGAUAGGAUCAGAUUAUUAUAUGUUUGUAUGUGGAUGACAUCUUAAUCUUUGGCCCUAAUGUGAAUGUUGUUAAUGAGACUAAGAAUUUUUUGUCUUCUAAAUUUGAAAUGAAAGAUCUUGGAGAAGCAGAUGUGAUUUUAGGGCUUAAAAUCAAAAAAACUUCUAAUGAUUUUUCGUUAUCUCAGUCUCAUUAUAUUGAGAAAAUAUUGAAAAGGUUUAAUUGUUUUGAUGUAGCACCUAUGAGAACUCCUUAUGAUCCUAGCAUACACUUGAGAAAGAAUAAGGAAUCUAGUAUUUCUCAAAUUGAAUAUGCUAAGAUAAUUGGUAGUGUAAUGUUUCUUAUGAAUUAUACCCGACCUGAUAUUGCUUAUGCUGUUAGUAUAUUGAGUAGAUAUACUCACAACCCCAGUAGUGAAUACUGGAAUGCUCUUCAUCGUUUGUUAAGGUAUUUGAGAGGUACUAUGGAUUGAUGUUUGCAUUUUAAUAAAUUUUCUGUUGUUUUAGAAGGAUUUUUGUGAUGUUUGGGUUACUGACAAUGAUGAAGUUAGCUCCGCUAGUGGUUAUGUGUUUACGUUGGGUGCAGGUGCUAUUUCAUGGAAGUCUUCAAAACAUACUUGUAUAGCACGAUCUACUAUGGAGUAUGAAUUCAUAGAGGUAAUUAGACUUCAUAUCCUAAUUGGUUCUUGUUCUUCCAAUCAAUUGUAGGUCUAGCUCUUAUGUUCAUAGCUUAGGGUUACAAUUGAUUGAGUUCAUAGAGGUAAUUAGAUUUUAUAUCCUAAUUGGUUCUUGUUCUUAUAAUCAAUUCUAGGUCUAGCUCUUAUUUUUGAUUCCGCGUGUUUUGCUAUAUCCGUAUUUUCGAUACGAUUCUGUAUCAUCUUGAUAUCAGAGCGGAGGUUUUGGAUUGUUCUAUCAAUCCUUGGGUCUUUGUUUUGAUUAUCAUCUAAUCUGAAAAAAAAAAUUAAAAAUUCCCAAAAAAAGGAAGGUUACUGUUCAUCUGUGUCUAAAAUUAGAAAUCAUAUGUAUUGUUUCACUGUUUCAUUUGGAAAUCCGAAUUCCUUGUGCUCGUUGUUGAUUUUGGUUCUGAGAUUUCUGAUUCCUUCAUUAUCUGAGUUUAAUUACCCUUUUUGAGCUUGAAAUCAUUGGAACCCUAGCCGAAAUUGGGUGUAAAUCCAUUGGAGGCUGCUCGUUGAAGGUGGAGUUCAAAACUGCCUAAUCUGAAAAAAUUAGGGUUUGAAUUCGAUUGGGUGUUUAUGAUACUAGCUGGAAACUUCAUUUUGAAGCUAAGUCUGAAGAUUGGAAGCUGGUUUGACGAGUUUUUGGUUCGAAAUUUUGAACUGCUUGUGCGAAGAAGAAGACGACCUAGGGCUCAUCAUUUCCGAGAGUGUUUGAACAAAUUGGUUUUGGGGUUCUGUUCUAAUUGGUGUUGAGAGCUGUAAUCUAUAGCUUGGGUUCGUUUGCGACUGAAAUUCGAAUUGGUUUGGUCGAAAUUUUCGGAAGACUGUUCGAAGAAAACGAACUGAGCGUUGUCGAUUUUGCUGGUUGCUCGUUGCAAAUUGGUUGCUGGGGUUUGAACUUAAGGCUGUUGGUAAGUCAUAGCUGAAAUUUUAGCUCUUCUGGUGGAGGAUUGAGCGAGAAUCAAAUUCCCUGCCAUUGAAGCUCGAAGAACAGUUGUUUCGAUUGAAGAACUUUCCGAACUGAUUCGAGUAGCUGGUAAAUCGAAGAGGAACACCUGUAGAGCUGAUUCGAAUUGCAUUUAGGUUGAUCCGGAGUCGAUUCUCUCAAGGAGACAAGAACAACAGCUGUGUUCUUCAAUUUUUUCUCCGAGAUUCAUUUGCAACUGAAUUGGCUCCACGAAGGUAAUCCCCUCGGCGAUUGAACUUUCCAAUUACAGUGUCGAUUGAAUUCAGAAGAAAACUCCAGGUUCAAAUUCUCUAACUCCUGAAGGUUUGAAAGCAUGUUUGAGUUUCUAAGUUCAUGAACUUCUAAGUUUGAAAACUUGAUUGUUUGAGCUGAAAGUUCUGUUCGAUCCUGAGUUUGAUAUUCAUUUAAGUCUGUGCAUCCAUGUAUCUUGUUGCACCUGUUGAAUAAUCUAAAUAAGGCAACAAGUUGUUGUUAAUCAUAACUUCUCACUCUCAUUCGAUCUUGUUGUGCUCUGGUUGACUUUCAAUUGUCGAAACCGUUUGCUUCUGACUGGUAUUCCAGUUCAAAAUAACAUGGCUGAGCUCUGGGCGCUCCUCCACUUUAUUAUGCCUACUUUAUUUGUAAGCCACGAACAAUUCAACGAAUGGUUUUCAAAAGGGUAUGUAUGUUUCAGUGUAAGGUGUUUCUUGCUUUAAUGUAUCAGUUGUCCAUCCUGGUGAUAAUUCUUUGUGCUUUCUGAUCAGAAUUGAGAACCACGCAGAGCGUGGUGGGACAUUGAACGAGCACCAGCUCAGCCGACUGCAUGCCAUUUUAAAACCCUUCAUGCUGCGACGGGUUAAAAAGGAUGUGGUUUCUGAGUUGACUGGGAAAACUGAAAUCACAGUGCACUGUAAGUUGAGUUCUCGCCAGCAGGCAUUUUAUCGAGCAAUAAAAGACAAGAUAUCCCUUGCUGAGUUGUUUGAUAGCAGCCUUGGGCAUCUCAAUGAGAAGAAAAUUCUAAACCUGAUGAAUAUUGUUAUCCAGUCAAGGAAGGUGUGCGGAUCCAGAGCUGUUUGAGAGAAAUGAAGGAACUUCUUACUUCUAUUUUGGAGAGGUUCCAAACUCACUUCUACCUCCUCCCUUCGGGGAACUGGAGGAUGUAUUCUAUUCUGGCGGUCGAAGUGCUGUUACAUACCAGAUGACAUGGAGAUUAAACAAAUGAGACGAUGACAAGUGGAAUUGAGACCGAAUAAUAAUCCCAAAAAAGGGAACUAUCCUAGCUGGAUUGUGUACCGUAAUAAAAAAACCUUUCAGAUUGCUACAACCUCCCCUCUGUCACUCUUCAUCCACCAUCAUGCCGACACUACUGUUCCUACUUCACCGUGGUUCUACCACCUGGAACCAAAUUCCUGCGGCAUCAACUUCCUUGUUGAGAGAGCUGCUUGGAACACUAUUUUCUGCAGAUAAUUUGAUAAGACAUAUCAGCUGGUGUUUUUUAUG